GAUGAACGCUGGCGGCGUGCCUAAUACAUGCAAGUCGAGCGAACGGACGAGAAGCUUGCUUCUCUGAUGUUAGCGGCGGACGGGUGAGUAACACGUGGAUAACCUACCUAUAAGACUGGGAUAACUUCGGGAAACCGGAGCUAAUACCGGAUGAUAUUUUGAACCGCAUGGUUCAAAAGUGAAAGACGGUCUUGCUGUCACUUAUAGAUGGAUCCGCGCUGCAUUAGCUAGUUGGUAAGGUAACGGCUUACCAAGGCAACGAUGCAUAGCCGGCCUGAGAGGGUGAUCGGCCACACUGGAACUGAGACGCGGUCCAGACUCCUACGGGAGGCAGCAGUAGGGAAUCUUCCGCAAUGGGCGAAAGCCUGACGGAGCAACGCCGCGUGAGUGAUGAAGGUCUUCGGACCGUAAAACUCUGUUAUUAGGGAAGAACAUAUGUGUAAGUAACUGUGCACAUCUUGACGGUACCUAAUCAGAAAGCCACGGCUAACUACGUG
rnacentral:rRNA from 1 species